GCCCACAGACCCAAUACUGUGAGCUUCAUCAAUGUAGAGAGUUAUGAAAACAUUGAUUUUGGUGAGCUCCCCAUGGUGGGAGGACUUUGCCCGUGGUGAGAAGCCACAAGUUCAAAGGAGGCUUCCUGUAAAUAUCAACAAGGUUGAAAGGAACCGUGAGAGGUAUAAUGAACUAACCCUAGUGUUGAAGACACAAGCAUGCUAGCAUUUGGCUGAGUUUGCCUGGGGUGGCGGCAGUGCUGGCAGCUGGCUCACUUCCUAUUCUCUGGGAGCCUCCAACUUCAGAGUUGUCAACACUUGAAGGCAGUGGGACAACUAGCCUUUCUUUGCAAAAUAUUUGGAGACUUCUGGACACAUUAAUAAUAGCUU